rfam:Bacillus manliponensis strain JCM 15802 contig25, whole genome shotgun sequence.
GGCCCAUUGGUCAAGUGGUUAAGACACCGCCCUUUCACGGCGGUAACACGGGUUCGAAUCCCGUAUGGGUCA